CCUGGAGUCUAGGAUGGGGUCUGACCUCCCUGCACCCCGGGGCUGGCUCUCUCGUUUUUAGAAUGCUGCACUGUUUUGGUGGAACUUGCACAGGAGUGGAGAGGGGGAUGAUGACACACUUCACGCUGGCUGCCCUGUGCUGGUGGGAGACAAGUGGGUGGCCAACAAGUGGAUACACGAGUAUGGACAGGAAUUCCGAAGACCCUGCAGCACCAAUCCUGAAGACUGAAACACUGGCAGAUGGCAGCUUGUCACCGAAGCCAGCCAGGAGUCAAAGCCAAGGGCAGAGGGGAGCAGAUCCUCCUGAAGGAAGGCCUCCAGCAAGGGAAGAUCUAGAAUAGGUCUUCAGCAGGAACCAUCUCUCAAUCCCUAAUUUGCAUCUGUUUCUACUCUAGCUGUGAGACUUAGAGGGCAACACAAAAGAGGCCUAAGAGGCUUCGAGGGCUCAGAUAUCCUUGGGAGGGAAAGAAAUGAACUCAGUGUAGAAACUGAUUGUUUAGAAUGUGCAAAUGCCUGAUUCAGUUCACUAACACUGAACACACACCACACACAUACACACACCCAUACACCCACAUGACCCUCACACACAGACAUGCACACACACACACACACACACACACACACACACACACACACACACACGCAUGCAUGCACUCUCUGCAAACAAUAUAUGGGUUGACUUCUACUCCUGCUCCAGGAGGAGAGUCUGACCCAGAGGUCUUCAUUCCUAUCACCAGUGGGAAUAUAUAUCAUGUGAUGACUUUUUUUUAAAAGUGGAAAACAAUUUUUUUGUGAUUUUUUAAAUUGUCAUUAAAAUGUUUUAAAUUUA
rnacentral:lncRNA from 1 species